rnacentral:rRNA from 1 species
GACGAACGCUGGCGGCGUGCUUAACACAUGCAAGUCGAACGGAAAGGCCCUGCUUGCAGGGUACUCGAGUGGCGAACAGGUGAGUAACACGUGGGUGAUCUGCCCUGCACUUCGGGAUAAGCCUGGGAAACUGGGUCUAAUACCGGAUAGGAGCCAUUUUUAGUGUGAUGGUUGGAAAGUUUUUUCGGUGUAGGAUGAGCUCGCGGCCUAUCAGCUUGUUGGUGGGGUAAUGGCCUACCAAGGCGGCGACGGGUAGCCGGCCUGAGAGGGUGGACGGCCACAUUGGGACUGAGAUACGGCCCAGACUCCUACGGGAGGCAGCAGGGGGGAAUAUUGCACAAGGGGCGCAAGCCCGAUGCAGCGACGCCGCGUGGGGGAUGACGGCCUUCGGGUUGUAAACUCCUUUCGCUAGGGACGAAGCUUUUUGUGACGGUACCUAGAGAAGAAGCACCGGCUAACUACGUG